GGCGGUUCUCAGGUGACACACCCUGGAAUCGGGCUUCCUCCUUUCUGGUUCUGGGUACGUCACCCAUGAACCUCA
rfam:Myotis brandtii contig269380, whole genome shotgun sequence.